CCUACGGGAGGCAGCAGUGGGGAAUAUUGCACAAUGGGCGCAAGCCUGAUGCAGCAACGCCGCGUGAGGGACGAUGGCCUUCGGGUUGUAAACCUCUUUUAGUAGGGAAGAAGCGAAAGUGACGGUACCUGCAGAAAAAGCACCGGCUAACUACGUGCCAGCAGCCGCGGUAAU
rnacentral:rRNA from 1 species